GACAGAGGGUGCAAACGUUGUUCGGAAUUACUGGGCGUAAAGCGCGUGUAGGCGGCUCGGCAAGUCGGAUGUGAAAGCCCUGGGCUCAACCCAGGAAGUGCACUCGAAACUGCCGAGCUGGAGUCCCGGAGAGGAAGGCGGAAUUCUCGGUGUAGAGGUGAAAUUCGUAGAUAUCGAGAGGAACACCUGUGGCGAAGGCGGCCUUCUGGACGGCGACUGACGCUGAGACGCGAAAGCGUGGGGAGCAAACAGG
rnacentral:rRNA from 1 species